rnacentral:rRNA from 1 species
UGGGGAAUCUUGCGCAAUGCGCGAAAGCGUGACGCAGCAACGCCGCGUGCGGGAAGACGGCCUUCGGGUUGUAAACCGCUUUCAGUUGGGACGAAGCUCCGCCGGUGAAUAGCCGGCUGGAGUGACGGUACCUUCACAAGAAGCCCCGGCUAACUACGUGCCAGCAGCCGCGGUAAUACGUAGGGGGCAAGCGUUGUCCGGAAUCAUUGGGCGUAAAGAGCGUGUAGGCGGCCCGAUAAGUCCGCUGUGAAAGUCCAGGGCUCAACCCUGGGAUGCCGGUGGAUACUGUCGGGCUCGAGUCCGGAAGAGGAGUGUGGAAUUCCUGGUGUAGCGGUGAAAUGCGCAGAUAUCAGGAGGAACACCAAUGGCGAAGGCAGCACUCUGGGACGUGACUGACGCUGAGACGCGAAAGCGUGGGGAGCAAACA